rnacentral:misc_RNA from 1 species
AAGUCGUAACAAGGUUUCCGUAGGUGAACCUGCGGAAGGAUCAUUAACAAAUCCAUGGCCUCCCCCGGGGGGCUGUAUGUUCCGGUGCUGAGCGCUGUGGCGCGAGGUGCCGUGUUCAAACGUGCUCUGCACAAGUAUGUAAGUCGGACUGAAACAACAUGGUGGGAACAAUAACAAACAACUUUUAACAAUGGAUCUCUAGGCUCUU